GCGCCCUUAGAUCAACUGGAUAGAUCGUCUGACUACGGAUCAGAAGGUUGGGGGUUCGAAUCCUCCAGGGCGCGCCA
rnacentral:tRNA from 1 species